GAUCUGAUGGCAUAGUGGCUAGUGCGUCUGUUUCAACUAAAUGCUUGUUGGAUGUUGUUAGGCAGAAGAUCCCCCGUUCGAAUCGAGGUCCGGUCG